UACGUAGGGACCAAGCGUUGUUCGGAUUUACUGGGCGUAAAGGGCGCGUAGGCGGCAAUUCAAGUCACUUGUGAAAUCUCUGAGCUUAACUCAGAACGGUCAAGUGAUACUGCUUUGCUAGAGUGCAGAAGGGGCAACCGGAAUCCUUGGUGUAGCGGUGAAAUGCGUAGAUAUCAAGAGGAACACCGGAGGUGAAGACGGGUUGCUGGGCUGACACUGACGCUGAGGCGCGAAAGCUAGGGUAGCAAACGGG
rnacentral:rRNA from 1 species